ACGUCGGUGCUCUGGGAGCAGCUCGGAUUCCAAAUCCGGUGAGUCGGGUUCGAUUCCUGGCCGGCGUG
rnacentral:tRNA from 1 species